rnacentral:rRNA from 1 species
UUGUUUGAACCGCAUGGUUCAAACAUAAAAGGUGGCUUCGGCUACCACUUACAGAUGGACCCGCGGCGCAUUAGCUAGUUGGUGAGGUAACGGCUCACCAAGGCGACGAUGCGUAGCCGACCUGAGAGGGUGAUCGGCCACACUGGGACUGAGACACGGCCCAGACUCCUACGGGAGGCAGCAGUAGGGAAUCUUCCGCAAUGGACGAAAGUCUGACGGAGCAACGCCGCGUGAGUGAUGAAGGUUUUCGGAUCGUAAAGCUCUGUUGUUAGGGAAGAACAAGUACCGUUCGAAUAGGGCGGUACCUUGACGGUACCUAACCAGAAAGCCACGGCUAACUACGUGCCAGCAGCCGCGGUAAUACGUAGGUGGCAAGCGUUGUCCGGAAUUAUUGGGCGUAAAGGGCUCGCAGGCGGUUUCUUAAGUCUG